UUCGCUGCUGUGCGCUGAGGGCGCCCGCGGGUGGCUUAGGCUUCGGCAGUCUGAACGUCCGCGCUCCUGAAGCCCUGUGGAGCGCCCGGGACUCCGUGGAAGCCGGGAAAUGGUGCCUGAAAAAAGGACAUGGUUACUGAUGAGAAGAUGAACUUAUCUCGGAAAUUGUGUUCCAACAGUAGCUUAAUAUUUUGUGGCAUGAAUGGUUGUGAAGCUGACAUGGGACCAUCUCAGAAGAACCAGGCAGAGCGGACAGUGUGAGAGAGAAACAGAGAGAAAGGUCUUCCUUUGCUGUCAGUUCACCCUCCUAUGGCCGCCACAGCCGGUGCACCAUGCUGAUCGAG